rnacentral:rRNA from 1 species
UAGGGAAUCUUCGGCAAUGGGGGCAACCCUGACCGAGCAACGCCGCGUGAGUGAAGAAGGUUUUCGGAUCGUAAAGCUCUGUUGUAAGAGAAGAACGUGUGUGAGAGUGGAAAGUUCACACAGUGACGGUAACUUACCAGAAAGGGACGGCUAACUACGUGCCAGCAGCCGCGGUAAUACGUAGGUCCCGAGCGUUGUCCGGAUUUAUUGGGCGUAAAGCGAGCGCAGGCGGUUUAAUAAGCCUGAAGUUAAAGGCAGUGGCUUAACCAUUGUUCGCUUUGGAAACUGUUAAACUUGAGUGCAGAAGGGGAGAGUGGAAUUCUAUGUGUAGCGGUGAAAUGCGUAGAUAUAUGGAGGAACACCGGUGGCGAAAGCGGCUCUCUGGUCUGUAACUGACGCUGAGGCUCGAAAGCGUGGGGAGCAAACAGG